UUGGGAGUGAAAUGAAAGCCUUUCUGGUACAACUUUGUUGUACGAGAAAGGCAAAAACUGUAAAAGUGUCACAUCGACAACGAAACAACAAAAUAUUUUUGCUGUAUGACAGAAAGAGUGGAUUUGAAUUAUUUUUAUCUUCUCUUGCGCACGGUGAAUUAAUUGAAAGUUAAUUGCAGAAAAAGCACGUAAAAUCUCUUUUACUCCGCGGACCGCGGUUUUUUCGCAACUAAUCACAUUGAUCCUGCUAUUGAUCCUUUGUAUAACUCGAAAUACGCCAUCGAUAUGCUCCAGCUUUGCCAAACCUGGAACAUCAAACAAAUGUGCAAAGAUGGUGCUUCCACUGGAACUCUUGCUUAUUACUGACGUGCAAAGUGGAGCAACUCGAUUUCAUCGGAUUAGGAGAUUCGAAGAUUUCUGGGAAAUCAAAUCCAACAGGCCAUUUUAGACGGAUUCAAAAUUAUGUUUAAAUGACGCUAAACCGGAUACGAUAAGCGCACUAAAUCGCAGUGGGACGGAGAAACUCCGUUGCAUAAAAAUGCCUAGCCAACGUGAUUGUAUUGUCAUUGCUGGGUGCGGCUGGGCUAUCUCACCGGCAGAUAAAUGGCAACUAUAUUCGCAGUUUCUACAUGCCACGAAACGCAUCCUGACGAGUGAAGAUGAUCGCUUUGGGCGAGUUUUAAGAGCUCCUAAAUUAAGAAAGAAGUAGAUUGAAAUUAUGAAAUAAAAAGGAUAAAUUAGGUAAACAUUUGCAAUGGUUGAAUUAAUGUAAUGAAAAAAGACUGGUUGGUGAGGGGUGGGAGGUUCCUUUUGAAGCAAAAUGAAAUCCACUUUCUAAAUGAAAAUAUUCCACUUUGUUUUCAACAGUGUGAUCAUUUAUGGAUCUGACAGUUGUACAGUUUUGUUUUGAAAGUUCGAACUUUUAAUGUGGCAUGUGGCAUGUCACUUUUGAACCAUCGUUGGCGUGAAAAUUGUUGCACUUUCAUUUUAAACAUACGCAACUCUCUACGAAAAAGAACCAAAGCAAC